UUUUUAUUUGAAUGGCCAUUCAGUUCACUUCAGAACUUCAAAUUACUGAGAUCAUAUUACUGUGCUCAAAGCACCUCGUUGUCAUCUCUCUUUCAGGUUAACCUUCUACCUGUCUAUACCACUGCUAUGCUUUGGCAAUCUGAAACCCUAGCUUCCCAAUUUUUUCCGUCUUUUUUUAUUUGAAUGGCCAUUCAGUUCACUUCAGAACUUCAAAUUACUGAGAUCAUAUUACUGUGCUCAAAGCACCUCGUUGUCAUCUCUCUUUCAGGUUAACCUUCUACCUGUCUAUACCACUGCUAUGCUUUGGCAAUCUGAAACCCUAGCUUCCCAAUUUUUUCCGUCUUUUUUUAUUUGAAUGGCCAUUCAGUUCACUUCAGAACUUCAAAUUACUGAGAUCAUAUUACUGUGCUCAAAGCACCUCGUUGUCAUCUCUCUUUCAGGUUAACCUUCUACCUGUCUAUACCACUGCUAUGCUUUGGCAAUCUGAAACCCUAGCUUCCCAAAGGUGAUGCAGGUGAAUGGAAAUUAAAUGAGUAAAAAGAAUUGGAAAUCAUCCAAUGCUUGGCUAGAGAUGUUGCUUACAUGCAGGAGAACUAUAAAGUGAUUUAAUCAGGUAAAAUGCGGUAGGAAUCUCUACAAAAUAUUCUCGCUGUUUUGUUUAGAAUCCUUAUCAUUCCAAAAUCCUGAAAGUUCUGUCAAUAGCUAAUUUAAUUCCUUGCUUUUUCUA